rnacentral:rRNA from 1 species
AGCUAUCUGCAGUCGAGCGAACGGACGAGAAGCUUGCUUCUCUGAUGUUAGCGGCGGACGGGUGAGUAACACGUGGAUAACCUACCUAUAAGACUGGGAUAACUUCGGGAAACCGGAGCUAAUACCGGAUAAUAUUUUGAACCGCAUGGUUCAAAAGUGAAAGACGGUCUUGCUGUCACUUAUAGAUGGAUCCGCGCUGCAUUAGCUAGUUGGUAAGGUAACGGCUUACCAAGGCAACGAUGCAUAGCCGACCUGAGAGGGUGAUCGGCCACACUGGAACUGAGACACGGUCCAGACUCCUACGGGAGGCAGCAGUAGGGAAUCUUCCGCAAUGGGCGAAAGCCUGACGGAGCAACGCCGCGUGAGUGAUGAAGGUCUUCGGAUCGUAAAACUCUGUUAUUAGGGAAGAACAUAUGUGUAAGUAACUGUGCACAUCUUGACGGUACCUAAUCAGAAAGCCACGGCUAACUACGUGCCAGCAGCCGCGGUAAUACGUAGGUGGCAAGCGUUAUCCGGAAAUUAUUGGGCGUAAAGCGCGCGUAGGCGGUUUUUUAAGUCUGAUGUGAAAGCCCACGGCUCAACCGUGGAGGGUCAUUGGAAACUGGAAAACUUGAGUGCAGAAGAGGAAAGUGGAAUUCCAUGUGUAGCGGUGAAAUGCGCAGAGAUAUGGAGGAACACCAGUGGCGAAGGCGACUUUCUGGUCUGUAACUGACGCUGAUGUGCGAAAGCGUGUGGAUCAAACAGGAUUAGAUACCCUGGUAGUCCACGCCGUAAACGAUGAGUGCUAAGUGUUAGGGGGUUUCCGCCCCUUAGUGCUGCAGCUAACGCAUUAAGCACUCCGCCUGGGGAGUACGACCGCAAGGUUGAAACUCAAAGGAAUUUGACGGGGACCCGCACAAGCGGUGGAGCAUGUGGUUUAAUUCGAAGCAACGCGAAGAACCUUACCAAAUCUUGACAAUCCUUUGACAACUCUAGAGAUAGAGCUUUCCCCUUCGGGGGACAAAGUGACAGGUGGUGCAUGGUUGUCGUCAGCUCGUGUCGUGAGAUGUUGGGUUAAGUCCCGCAACGAGCGCAACCCUUAAGCUUAGUUGCCAUCAUUAAGUUGGGCACUCUAAGUUGACUGCCGGUGACAAACCGGAGGAAGGUGGGGAUGACGUCAAAUCAUCAUGCCCCUUAUGAUUUGGGCUACACACGUGCUACAAUGGACAAUACAAAGGGCAGCGAAACCGCGAGGUCAAGCAAAUCCCAUAAAGUUGUUCUCAGUUCGGAUUGUAGUCUGCAACUCGACUACAUGAAGCUGGAAUCGCUAGUAAUCGUAGAUCAGCAUGCUACGGUGAAUACGUUCCCGGGUCUUGUACACACCGCCCGUCACACCACGAGAGUUUGUAACACCCGAAGCCGGUGGAGUAACCUAUAGAGCAUCCGUCUACC